GUGGGGUAUAGUGACACAGUAACAGAGGGAUUGAGGGCCUGCUCAGUGAGUUUACAUGUUAGAGGGAGUGGGAUAUAGUGACAAAGUAACAGAGGGAUUGAGGUCCUGCUCAGUGAGUUUACAUGUUAGAGGGAGUGGGGUAUAGUGACACAGUAACAGAGGGAUUGAGGUCCUGCUCAGUGAGUUUACAUGUUAGAGAGAGUGGGGUAUAGUGACACAGUAACAGAGGGAUUGAGGGCCUGCUCAGUGAGGUUACAUGUUAG